GGGGCUGUAGCUCAGCUGGGAGAGCACCUGCUUUGCAAGCAGGGGGUCAGCGGUUCGAUCCCGCUCAGCUCCAACA
rnacentral:tRNA from 1 species